CGCGAUGGGCGGCCGCGCUUAUCCUCGCUCGCUCUGCUCUCGCGCUUCCACCCGUGCACGGCUGACUGGCUGUUUAUGCUGUUUUAUAUCUGGCCGCCACCACCACCGGACUGAAUAAUGGCGCGAGAUCUGUGCCGUAGUCGCCAAGGGGGUGCUGACCGAGACUGCAAGAGAUACUAUCGCCGGUAGAUUUCUAGUCGCCCGUCGCGACGUCCCCCGCUUACGUGCUGCUGCCAGAGGAAGCGCCGGCGACACGUGCCACUUGUCUGCGGCGUUAUCAGGCGGAACGUGGCUAUUCUGGUUCUGGUAGCAGAAACCAGCCCGACCACUCGACCGCGUCGGGACAAUUUUCGGCGGCGAUCGUGUGCGCCUCGUAUCGACGCUCUUUACAGCGUCUUUAAAAGGCCGACGAGAAUAUGUCAAGCAACGAUGAAGACCAAAUGUUAUCGCUCGUUAUCGCGUCUCGCCUGCGGCGAACUUUCUGCUCUCCUCGAGCCGGCGACGUCCUGCAUAGAUCACUUCUUAGCCUGUCGCCUGUCCUUAAAAUAUGUUUACAAGAUCAGAUCAAGUAAUAUCUUUAAUCGUCCGAUGUCUUCUGAUCCCGGUGGAAAGCGUUCCUUGCCUUCUUUUUUUUCUUUUGUAAAUUAAUUUCAAGAUAACUUUGAUCGAUGCUUCACAGUUUUGAGAUUAAACGAUAAUUUUUAAUCGGCU